rnacentral:rRNA from 1 species
UACGGGGGGGGCAAGCGUUGUUCGGAGUUACUGGGCGUAAAGGGUUCGUAGGUGGCCAACUAAGUCAGACGUGAAAUCCCUCGGCUUAACCGGGGAACUGCGUCUGAUACUGGAUGGCUUGAGUUUGGGAGAGGGAUGCGGAAUUCCAGGUGUAGCGGUGAAAUGCGUAGAUAUCUGGAGGAACACCGGUGGCGAAGGCGGCAUCCUGGACCAACACUGACACUGAGGAGCGAAAGCCAGGGGAGCAAACGGG